AGUGCAUACCAUGGGGCCUGACACAUAGGAAAAAGCACAGUACGUUGAACUCACUAUUAUUAUUAAUAAUUAUUAUUAUUUUUAGACAGAAUCUCACUCUGUCACUAGGCUGGAGUGCAGUGGCAUGAUCUCAGCUCACCGCAACCUCCAUCUCCCUUGUCCAAGCAAUUCCCCUGCCUCAGCUUCCUGAAUAGCUGGCACCACAAGCACCUGCCACCAUGCCCAGUGGCUGGUAGAUAAUGUCCUCUUCACAGCAGUCUCAUCCUUGUUGGAAAAAUUCUCAAAAGGCCACUCGAGCAGAUUCCAAAGGGUGACUUACUUGAGGUCACAAAGUAAAUCAAUUUCAGAGGCCAAACAGCAACUCAGCCCUUUCAACCAGCUUUCUUCCAUCAAGACAGCCCAAGAAGAAGACAACCCUCAGUGCCACCGCCGUGCCGCAACCCUCAGUGCCACCACCGUGCCGGGUAAGUUUGUAUCUGUGCAAAACUCCUUUUCACUGAGAUUUUAACUUCCAACAUUGUGUGCAUGUAAACAUGUGGCACAUCACCAUUCAAAACUCUCCUUUAA
rnacentral:lncRNA from 13 species